rnacentral:rRNA from 1 species
AGAGUUUGAUCAUGGCUCAGAUUGAACGCUGGCGGCAGGCCUAACACAUGCAAGUCGAGCGGAAACGAGCUAUCUGAACCUUCGGGGAACGAUAACGGCGUCGAGCGGCGGACGGGUGAGUAAUGCCUGGGAAAUUGCCCUGAUGUGGGGGAUAACCAUUGGAAACGAUGGCUAAUACCGCAUAAUAGCUUCGGCUCAAAGAGGGGGACCUUCGGGCCUCUCGCGUCAGGAUAUGCCCAGGUGGGAUUAGCUAGUUGGUGAGGUAAGGGCUCACCAAGGCGACGAUCCCUAGCUGGUCUGAGAGGAUGAUCAGCCACACUGGAACUGAGACACGGUCCAGACUCCUACGGGAGGCAGCAGUGGGGAAUAUUGCACAAUGGGCGCAAGCCUGAUGCAGCCAUGCCGCGUGUAUGAAGAAGGCCUUCGGGUUGUAAAGUACUUUCAGCAGUGAGGAAGGUGGUGUACUUAAUACGUGCAUCAUUUGACGUUAGCUGCAGAAGAAGCACCGGCUAACUCCGUGCCAGCAGCCGCGGUAAU